AUGGUCCGUGGACCGCGCGGUAAGUGGAUCCGGGUAUGGACCGGUGAAGCUUUCGAGGGCGGGAGAUGACCGCCGGGUCGUCUCCGGCGAGCCGUC
rnacentral:tRNA from 1 species